GACGUAGGGUGCGAGCGUUGUCCGGAAUUAUUGGGCGUAAAGAGCUCGUAGGCGGUCUGUUGCGUCGGCUGUGAAAACCCGGGGCUCAACCCCGGGCCUGCAGCCGAUACGGGCAGACUAGAGUUCGGCAGGGGAGACUGGAAUUCCUGGUGUAGCGGUGAAAUGCGCAGAUAUCAGGAGGAACACCGGUGGCGAAGGCGGGUCUCUGGGCCGAUACUGACGCUGAGGAGCGAAAGCGUGGGGAGCAAACAGG
rnacentral:rRNA from 1 species